GUUAUCCCGGUAUUUAUUGGGCGUAAAGCGAGCGCAGCGCGGGUCUUUUAAGUCUAAUGUGAAAGCCUUCGGCUCAACCGAAGAAGUGCAUUGGAAACUGGGAGACUUGAGUGCAGAAGAGGACAGUGGAACUCCAUGUGUAGCGGUGAAAUGCGUAGAUAUAUGGAAGAACACCAGUGGCGAAGGCGGGCUGUCUGGUCUGCAACUGACGCUGAGGCUCGAAAGCAUGGGUAGCGAACAGGAUUAGAUACCCUGGUAGUCCAUGCCGUAAACGAUGAUUACUAAGUGUUGGAGGGUUUCCGCCCUUCAGUGCUGCAGCUAACGCAUUAAGUAAUCCGCCUGGGGAGUACGACCGCAAGGUUUGAAACUCAAAAGAAUUGACGGGGGCCCGCACAAGCGGGGGAGCAUGUGGUUUAAUUCGAAGCUACGCGAAAGAAACCUUACCAGGUCUUGACAUCUUCUGACAGUCUAAGAGAUUAGAGGUUCCCUUCGGGGACAGAAUGACAGGUGGUGCAUGGUUGUCGUCAGCUCGUGUCGUGAGAUGUUGGGUUAAGUCCCGCAACGAGCGCAACCCUUAUUACUAGGUUGCCAGCAUUAAGUUGGGCACUCUAGUGAGACUGCCGGUGACAAAACCGGAGGAAGGUGGGGACGACGUCAAAUCAUCAUGCCCCUUAUGACCUGGGCUACACACGUGCUACAAUGGAUGGUACAACGAGUCGCGAGACCGCGAGGUUAAGCUAAAUCUCUUAAAACCAUUCUCAGUUCGGACUGUAGGCUGCAACUCGCCUACACGAAGUCGGAAUCGCUAGUUAAUCGCGGAUCAGCAUGCCGCGGUGAA
rnacentral:rRNA from 1 species